CCCUUAGACGUUCUGGGCCGCACGCGCGCUACACUGACGAAGGCAACGAGCUUUCCUUUACCGAAAGGUACGGGUAAUCUUUUGAAACUUCGUCGUGUUGGGGAUAGAUCCUUGCAAUUUUUGAUCUUAAACGAGGAAUUCCUAGUAAGCGCAAGUCAUCAACUUGCGUUGAUUACGUCCCUGCCCUUUGUACACACCGCCCGUCGCUACUACCGAUUGAAUGGUUUAGUGAGGCCUUCGGAUCCGCGACUCGUUUUGUGGAGAAGUUGGACAAACUCAGUCAUUUAGAGGAAGUAAAAGUCGUAACA
rnacentral:rRNA from 1 species